GACGAACGCUGGCGGCGUGCUUAACACAUGCAAGUCGAACGGAGUGGCGAACGGGUGAGUAAAACGUGGGUGACCUGCCCUUCAAUUCGGGAGAAGCCUGGGAAACUGGGUCUAAUACCGGAUAGUGUGGGAUGGGCGCGCGGCCUAUCAGCUUGUUGGUGGGGUAAUGGCCUACCAAGGCGGCGACGGGUCGCCGGCCUGAGAGGGUGGACGGCCACAUGGGGACGGAGAUGCGGCCCAGACUCCUACGGGAGGAAGCAGUGGGGAAUAUUGCACAAUGGGCGGAAGACUGAAGCAGGGACGCCGCGUGGGGGAGGACGGCGUUCGGGUUGUAAACUCCUUACACCAUCGACGCGGUAGCUGGAGAAAAAGAACCGGCUAACUACGUGCCAGCAGCCGCGGUAAUAC
rnacentral:rRNA from 1 species